GACGAACGCUGGCGGCGUGCCUAACACAUGCAAGUCGAACGGAACUUAUUGGAUCAAGGCUUCGGCCAAAGUGAAUUUAAGUUUAGUGGCGAACGGGUGAGUAACGCGUGAGCAACCUGCCUUUCAGAGGGGGACAACAGUUGGAAACGACUGCUAAUACCGCAUAAACACAUCGAGGGGGCAUCCUAAUGAUACCAAAGCUUUAUGUGCUGAAAGAUGGUCUCGCGUCUGAUUAGCUAGAUGGCGGGGUAACGGCCCACCAAGGCGACGAUAGCUAUCCGGCCUGAGAGGGUGAACGGACACAUUGGGGACUGAGAUACGGGCCCAGACUCCUACGGGAGGCAGCAGCUAAGAAUAUUCCGCAAUGGGGGAAACCCUGACGGAGCGACGCCGCGUGGAUGAUGAAGGCCGGAAGGUUGUAAAA
rnacentral:rRNA from 1 species